UUCAAUCGGUUGGCUGAGACG
rnacentral:piRNA from 1 species